AUAGGGCAUGAGGUGAAGGAGUUAACCUCAUGUACUGCAGUAUGUGGGGAGAAGUUUCUAGAUUGCCAUGAGGCCAGGAGAUCGUUGGGGAGAGCAUGAGGAGUGAAGGGAAAGGGGCCCCUGCGCAUGCUGUGACAGUUAGUCCCCCACAAACGGUACCUGUGAGAGACGCAGCAUCCCGGCGGGCAGCUCCAGUGACAGAGCAGAGAGUGGGGUACGGAGACGCUGGCAGAGAGGUAGUCUCGGUGAAAGUGAGGCUGGAGAAAGCUGCAGGCAGACAAAUAGCCCCUGGCGGAGAGGCAGUCCCGGUGACGGCGAGGUUGGAGAGCCAGAGAGCUGUGCAGUAGAGGCGCAGGCAACCAGAGUAAGAGGGAGAACGGUGAGGAGUGAGAUCCUGUCAGUGCUGAGGACUCACUGAUUAGUACAAGAACUACAAUAAGAGGUACCUGCACUAUCUGUCUUACAAUAAUCAGAGGGGGUGGAGAGGCAGAGCAUAGAGGAACAAGAGGAACAGGAGGAGUCGGGGGAGCUACCAGAGGUGGGAAUGUUUGUUGGAACGGUCUAAAGAAUUUAUUGACGCUGAUAACCCAACUAUAGUUGUACAAUAAAGCUGUUAUACUUACCACUGCCUGACUCUUCUGCUAGGGGACCCGAAAGGCCUAAUGGAGAGAAAACAGAUAUGUCUCUAGAUAGUGACAUAGACUUAAUCACUGGCCUACUAUAGAUGUACCGUGGACAUGAAUGUCUCUGGGCUAUUCUGAUGAAGUGCUCCGGAAUGCGGCAUUGGAGGAAUUAGUGGAGUAUUGCAGGCCCUUUGUGUCCACUGCGGACAAAGAAUGGGUCAAGAAAAAGAUCCAGAACCUUUGCACGGCGUUCCUUAAAGAACACAAAAAAAUUGAGCAGUCGAAAAAGUCUGGAGCAGGUUCUGCCCAGAUUUACAAAACCUCGCUCUGGUACUACAGCAUGCUGGAGUUUGUCCUGGACUAGGAGCAUGCCCGGACAGGUUUCACCUCCCUCCCUCGGACUGCUACACCAGAGCCUGAAGACGGUGAGCCAUCUCUGUCACCAUCUAAUACAAGUGUGGAGAUACCCCCCACCCCAGACCUGAGUCUCAACCUUGAUACGGAGAAAUCACAGCCCCAACUUCCUACCCCUGAAACACCCGCUACCCGGGAUACCUCUGCAGAACCAGCUCCUCUGCCGCACCCCCGUUAGAGAGCCCCCCCCCCCCAAAUAUAACACCACCCAGGAGGGCGAAGACAUAAUAUUUGAGGAGAUAAAGGCAAGACUUGCCCGCCUCCCCGACCACUACUCCAAUUUUGGGGAUUUUAUGGCCUGUUCAAUGCGCAAACUACCCCCGGGUCAAGCGGAGCAGAUUGAGAGGCUUUGUCUCAAAAUGCUGAACAAAGCCCGAAAAUCGAAACUACAUGAUGAUGUCGUACUAUUCGACCGCCGUCCUCUCUCUCUUCCUCCCACCCAAUCCCAUGCUAUUCCACCCACCCAACCCCAUCUCAUUCCGCCAACCCAACCACAGCCUACUCCCCUACCCACCUGCUCCUCAGCCAUAUACUGCUAUGCUGGAGGCAGAGGAGGACAUGCCCCAGUUUGAAGAUUUGUAGGCAUCUUGUAAUUCCCAAUAAAUAUGGUGCGGUAUAGGCUAUAUGGUGUUUUGGUCCCAGAUUUUUGGGGUAGGAUACACGCAUGCUGUAGGUGCAUAAUAAUGGGGACGGGACCAUUCAUUCUGCACUCUACAGCAUGUGUGUAUUCUCCCAAUCUAAUCUGUGCCCAAAACACCAUAUAGCUCGCCAUUUUAGGAGUGAAAGUACUGCACCAUAUUUAUUGGGAGUGAAAAGUAAAAUAAUCCAUUAUUUAAUCCUUUUAAUACAUACAUACAGUCAGGUCCAUAAAUAUUGGGACAUUGACACAAUUCUCAUAUUUUGGGCUCUAUACACCACCACAAUGGAUUUGAAAUUAAACAAACAAGAUGUGCUUUAACUGCAGACUUUCCGCUUUAAUUUAAGGGUAUUUACAUCCAAAUCAGGUGAACGGUGUAGGAAUUACAAGUGUUUCUAUAUGUGCCUCCCACUUUUUAAGGGACCAAAAGUAAUGGGACAAACUAAACAAUCCUAAAUCAAACUUUCACUUUUUAAUACUUUGUAGCAAAUCCUUUGCAGUCAAUUACAGCCUGAAGUCUGGAACGCAUAGACAUCACCAAACGCUGGGUUUCAUCCCUGGUGAUGCUCUGCCGGGCCUCUACUGCAAAUGUCUUCAGUUCCUGCUUGUUCUUGGGGCAUUUUCCCUUCAGUUUUAUCUUCAUCAAGUGAAAUGCAUGCUCAAGAUUCAGGUCAGGUGAUGGACUUGGCCAUUGCAUAACAUUCCACUUAUUUGCCUUAAAAAAACUCUUUGGUUGCUUUCGCAGUAUGCUUCGGGUCAUUGUCCAUCUGCACUGUGAAGCGCCGUCCAAUGAGUUCUGAAGCAUUUGUCUGAAUAUGAGCAUAUAAUAUUGCCCAAAACACUUCAGAAUUCAUCCUGCUGCUUUUGUCAGCAGUCACAUUAUCAAUAAAUACAAGGGAACCAGUUCCAUUGGCAGCCAUACAUGCCCACGCCAUGACACUACCACCACCAUGCUUCACUGAUGAGGUGGUAUAUUUUGGAUUAUGAGCAGUUCCUUUCCUUCUCCAUACUCUUCUCUUCCCAUCACUCUGGUACAAGUUGAUCUUUGUCUCAUCUGUCCAUAGGAUGUUCUAGAACUGUAAAGGCUUUUUUAGAUGUUGUUUGGCAAACUCUAAUCUGGACUUCUUGUGGCUCACCAAUGGUUUACAUCUUGUGGUGAACCCUCUAUAUUCACUCUUGUGAAGUCUUCUCUUGAUUGUUGACUUUGACACAUAUACACCUACCUUCUGGAGAGUGCUCUUGAUCUGGGCAACUGUUGUGAGGGGGUUUUUCUUCACCAGGGAAAUAAUUCUUCUGACAAUCACACAGUUGUUUUCCGUGGUCUUCCGGAUCUUUUGCUGUUGCUGAGCUAUCUGGUGCGUUCUUUCUUUUUAAGACUGUUCCAAACAGUUGAUUUAGACACACCUAAUGUUUUUGCUAUCUCUCUGAUGGGUUUGUUUUGAUUUUGCAGCUUAAUGAUGGCUUGCUUCACUGAUAGUGGCAGCUCUUUGGAUCUCAUAUUGAGAGUCGACAGCAACAGAUUACAAAUGCAAAUGUCACACCUGGAAUCUACUCCAGACCUUUUACCUGCUUAACGGAUGAUGAAAUAAUGAGGGAUUAGACCACUCCUGUCCAUGAAAUAGCUUUUGAGUUGAUUGUCCCAUUACUUUUUG